CGGGAAAGUAGCUUGCUUCUUUUGCCGGCGAGCGGCGGACGGGUGAGUAAAGCCUGGGAAUUGCCCAGUCGAGGGGGAUUACAGUUGGAAACGACUGUUAUUCCGCAUAUUCUCUACGUGGGGAAAGCAGGGGACCUUUCGGUCCUUUGCGCGAUGGAUAUGCCCAGGUGGGAUUAGCUAGUUGGUGAGGUAAUGGCUCACCAAGGCGACGAUCCCUAGAUGGUCUGAGAGGAUGAUCAGCCACACUGGAAUUGAGACACGGUCCAGACUCCUACGGGAGGCAGCAGUGGGGAAUAUUGCACAAUGGGGGAAACCUUGAUCCAGCAAUGCCGCGUGUGUGAAGAAGGCCUUCGGGUUGUAAAGCACUUUUGUCCGGAAAGAAAUGGCUCUGGUUAAUACCCGGAGUUGAUGACGGUACCGGAAGAAUAAGGACCGGCUAACUACGUGCCAGCAGCCGCGGUAAUACGUAGGGUGCAAGCGUUAAUCGGAAUUACUGGGCGUAAAGCGCACGCAGACGGUCUGUCAAGUCGGAUGUGAAAUCCCCGGGCUCAACCUGGGAAUUGCAUUUAAAACUGUCCAGCUAGAGUCUUGUAGAGGGGGGUAGAAUUCCAGGUGUAGCGGUGAAAUGCGUAGAGAUCUGGAGGAAUACCGGUGGCGAAGGCGGCCCCCUGGACAAAGACGGACGCUCAGGUGCGAAAGCGUGGGGAGCAAACAGGAUUAGAUACCCUGGUAGUCCA
rnacentral:rRNA from 1 species